AGUCGUAACAAGGUCUCCGUAGGUGAACCUGCGGAGGGAUCAUUAAACUCAUCUCAAUUUAUUACCUGCCACCCGCCUUAAUUCCGAAUACACCGGGAUCGGAACCUGAUAAAAUUUUGGAAAAAGCUUUUUACCCCUCUUCUUCCUCGGAAGGAGGAGGGUGGAGGCCCGACUGGGUUUUUUCAGGCGGCAAUAUCCCAAACUAAACCAUUUAACUUUGUCCAUUUCCCGGCUUCCGAAAGGUUGUCGGUUUUCAUCAAACACCAUUACCGGUGGAUGACUCGGCUCA
rnacentral:misc_RNA from 1 species